UACGAAGGGGGCUAGCGUUGUUCGGAAUCACUGGGCGUAAAGCGCACGUAGGCGGAUUCUUAAGUCAGGGGUGAAAUUCCGGGGCUCAACCUCGGAACUGCCUUUGAUACUGGGGAUCUUGAGUUCGGGAGAGGUGAGUGGAACUGCGAGUGUAGAGGUGAAAUUCGUAGAUAUUCGCAAGAACACCAGUGGCGAAGGCGGCUCACUGGCCCGAUACUGACGCUGAGGCACGAAAGCGUGGGGAGCAAACAGG
rnacentral:rRNA from 1 species